UGCCUAAGACGGUCCCAAGCCCGUAUAAAAUGGGAGGGAAAAUGUAUUACCAACAUCAACUAGCAGCUGUGAUGUAUCAAGUCAUGAUGAUUAUCUGCUCUGAUGUUACAAUGUAUCAAGACAUGAUGAUAAGCUGCUCUGAUGUUACAAUGUAUCAAAUCAUGAUAAGCUGCUCUGAUGUUAUAAUGUAUCAAGUCAUGAUGAUAAGCUGCUCUGAUGUUAUAAUGUAUCAAGUCAUGAUGAUAAGCUGCUCUGAUGUUACAAUGUAUCAAGUCAUGAUGAUAAGCUGCUGUGAUGUCACAAUAUAUAAAGUCGGCGACUGGUCAUUUCUUUCUCUGUCACUUCAUCCCCUUUCAUUUCAUUUUGAAUCAUUUAGUCCCUGGUCAUCUCAUCCUCACUCAUUUCAUCCCCAAUUAUUUUUGUUCUUAGUCAUUAUGUCAUUUUGUUGUUAAGACUUUGACUUUAAGCUCUCAUUUCAUCUAAUAUUUUGUGAAGCACUUAGUUUAGAGACACACUUUUGUAGACGGACUUUGAUCGCAACGUUUGGGAACGUGAUGGUGGGAUUGAGAAGAUUUAUGCAAACUUUUUAUUUCAUCGGUUUUAAGGAGAACAUCAUUGUAGUGACAGACUCGACUGUCGCCCAUUCUGUAAUAAGUUUAGUAUCAACAUGUUCAAACCUUUUUUUAAUUUAAUUCUAUUUGACUUGUAAUCUUUCUAUUAUAGGAAAAAUAAUGCGCUGUAGACGCCAGGAGAAAGAGUUUCUGAAGCUCAGAAAUGUAGACAAACGCUUGGCGCCCGGGGUUUUGCCAUGGACAACUCUGUGUGAGCUUAAGGAGCUUUUCAAACAUCUUAUCUGACCAGUUUAGUGACAAACGUAACAUUUUUUGUGUGAAAUUUUGAGAAACAUGUAAACUUAAGCCCUUUUGCACGCCAUUCGACACAUAGGGCUGCAAGUUUUCUCCACAUAACUCAGUCCAAGGCAACUUUCACAGCCACUUCCCAGCUGGCUCCCAUGAAAUUCGGAACUUUUAAAAAGGUGUGACGCCAAGUUAGACGUGGACAGCCAUGUUUUUGCGGCUUUCAUGUUAAGUCUGACUUUGGUAAAAUGUUUCGUCUUGUCUAAUAUUUCUUACAAAUGUCAAUCGGAGUUCAGUUGCCACUUUCCUUAGAGGCAAAGUCUGUGCCCGAGAGAUUUCUCUAUUCGUAACAUUAUCUCAGUAUGUUAUUCGUAGCAUCCUUUUCUAGCUCAGCCAUCACUGCUUAGCCUCUUUGCAGCCUUCCACGUCUCGAACUUAGGUGGCCGUUGGGAUAAUGAUUGUAUUAGUAGGUGUAUUUUAAUUUGAUUUUUCUUCAGAUAUGCUGUUAUUUUUGAAAGACUGCUUUCCAAUCCGACAUGCAACACCAUGAUAUGUAUCACCAUCACUUGAGAUGACACUGCCUAAAUAGGUGAACUUUUCUAUUUGUUCAGGAUCUGUAGGAACAAUGUUGAUGGUGUACUGUGUAACCUGCAUCCAAUAUGCAUAACUUUGAGGGCGUAUUUAUCCGUCAUCUCGUGGCUACAAGAAAGAGAAAUGAGGAUAAGAUGCACCCUAAUCUCAUAUCCGUCUCAAUGUUGAAGAAUUCCACCGUCUGUUGUGACACAAUAUCUUGAUUUGCUUUAGACAAGUCGCUGAAUCUGGACAAAUUGUGAUGAGAUGACUUUUUCUACCUAUUUUUCAGAUUGAUUCCGAUGUACAAAAUCUACAAAAACUGAUCAACAUUCUUUGUUGGUAUUCCAGGCUUUGACGUUGUUUCUCAGAACAAUUGCCUUAUCUUAUCAAUCUUAUUGAUUUAGAUUCCAAAGAAGAAAUAUGUAACACUAGCCAAAAGAAUGACCAACAUUGUACAACAAUAUGAAUCAAUGGACCAUUUUCUGUACUUACGAACAAUUGCCUUAUCUUAUCAGUUAUCAAUCUUAUUGAUUUAGAUUCUAUUCUAAGGCAUUUUACGUCUUCAGAGGUGAUCUUUUCCCUUUGCAACUUCUUGUGACUAAAGAGGCCAAUCCUUGAUACACAGCUGGGGUCGCAGGUUGGGCAUACGUAAUCAACAGGCACCGUUGCAUUUUAUCCCUUCUUUCUGCUUCUGUUGUGUAAGGCAUCUGCAAUUUGAGACCCUUCUUUUAUGCUCUCUUUCCAUGAUUUAGAUUAAAACACACACACAAAGAUUACAUUAUCUCCUAUAUCUAUAGACGUAGAUGUAUUUAAGUUUUUAGUGGCAUUACAUUUUUUAUGUGUACACUUUUUGUCAUGUAAAUAAAAAUAAAUAUUUUAAUUAUUGCUAAUUUCACAAUUUUUCAAUUAUUAUUUGUUGGAUAAAAAGAUCAGAAGAUGAAAUGACUAGGGGAUGAAGUGGCCAAAGAUGAAAUGGCUGGGGGAUAAAAUAAUCAGGGAUGAAAUGAUCAAAGAUAAAAUGACAGAAACAAUGAAGUAAUGAUAUAUCAAAGUCAUGGUGAUAAAGAAUUCAGCUUUGACCAAUUUUCAAAGAUCAAGGACAUAACAGCUAUUUAACAACAAUAGGGCAUUUUGAUAAAAAAUGAUCUUCAUGACAAUUUGGGAAGCAUGGUUUAAAGGCUAAAUACGCUAGGCUUGGCUACCUAUGAAGGGGGCUCGAGGUUCGCCAAAUGACACGGGCAGAGUUGUGUUUACUAAGCGCCUAAAGGCAGCAAGGAAAAUCUCUCUCCCACUGGUCCACAACUGAGAUUGAACCAUAACGCUUUGAGCAUGCUAUAAGCAAGAAAGUAGCGCUAUAGAAAAGCUAUCAUUUAAUUUACAACAAAAACAAUUGUGGUAUGUGAGGUCAACACAAACAAUUCAAAUUUAUUUUAUAAAGUACUCUUUUCCAAAAGAGUGUAAUGAUACUAUGAUAGUGAUCGGAGUAGAUCACAGGCUUGUAUAUGGUAGUGGCAAUAUCAAUUCUGGAAAUGCUUAAAGACCAGUUCAGGCACCAACUCACUUUUACUAACAGUGAUUCAUUGAAGACAAACACAUAAGAGUUGAGACUUCUAGGGCAUCUUCCAACUGAAAACCAGUGCAAACAAUGCAAUGAAAACUUCAAUGACCCCUGAGAGUAAUCAACUAAGUCGUGUUACAAACUAUGAAGCCAGACCAAGGUCUGCAUAGCCGAUGGAAAUCCUACCCUCUUUCUCAAAGAUAAUUUCUUAUUGUAAAUGGCUAUCAAAUGCUUUGACUAUAACAAAUGAUAUUUUAAUAAAGUUACUGUCUUCCAUUAA